rnacentral:rRNA from 1 species
CGGGAUGAAGGUUUCACAGAACUAAAUUAUUUUUAAAGCUUAGAGUAAUUUGGGUUGUAAGUUAAAAUACUUACGAGUAUUUAAGGGGCGAUAAGACCCUAGCAGCUUUAUUUAUGUUUAGGUUUAUAGUUUGAUAAAAAGUAAGGUAGAAGAAAAAUUUAACUGGGGUAGUUAUUUCUAAGAAAUGGAAAGUUUAAUAAACGGGUGGUUUUAGGCCCUUAAAAUUAGGACAACUGGAAAAAGUUACUUUAGGGUUAACAGUGUAAUAAUUUUGGAAAGGCCUUAUUGAUAAAAUUGAUUGCAACCUCGAUGUUGAAUUAGAAAAUCGGCCUCAGGGAGAAAGGGGGUUUGAUGGUUUGUUCAACCAUUAAUUUUCUACAUGAUUU